rnacentral:lncRNA from 1 species
AUGCACCUCACAGAGCUGGAAGAAAAGAACGUGGAACUGAAUAAUCAGCUGUCACAGUUUCAAUCUGCUCUUCAGCAGGCCGAACUGGUCUCUUCAAGCCGUGCAGGAAAACUUCAGGAGCUCAGCACCCAGAUCCAGGCCCUGCAGGAUGCAGUGACAGAGAAGGCAGCUCAGCAGGACACUCAAGAGAAGGAGCUGCUGCAGGAGCUGGAAAAGUCCCGAGUAAGAGAACAGAGCUUGAGGGACGCUAUGAAUGUGCUGCAGGUUGAGAUGUCUGGGCUGCGUCUGAGGCUCCAGAGCUCUGAGGAAAGAGCAGAGGCCAUGGCCACACACUGUGAGGCCAUGGAGAUGGAGCUGAGGAUGGCUCAGGCUGACAACAACCAAAUCAAGGCCUGCAAUCAGGAGCUGCAGACACUGUUGGAGGAAACUCAGCAAGCAUUAUGGAGGGCAGAACACCAGAAAAUCUUUCUAAGAACGGGCCUGAAGGAAGAGGCCACUGCCCUGAAGAAAGAGGCUGUGACUGUUCGUCAGGAGAUGGAAUAUCUUCGGAGGAAACUGGAGAGCCAGGAGAAGGAAAGGAAGGAUGUGCUGCAUGAACGGGAAUUGUGCCAACAGAAGCUGAGGGGUCUGGAAAAGAAGAUGGAAACGGGUGCACCUGACACGAAGAGUCGGAAGAAGAUAAUCCAGGAAUUGGAAGUGGAGGGGGAAGAUAUGCAAGAAGAGUUGGACCAUGGGACUGCUGCUGCCUUGAAGACGAGUGGAAGAGAAGAAAUCAAAGGGACAGAGAUUGGACAGCUUCUGACUUCUGCACUGAGGAAGAGCGAAAUGGCCAAAGGGACAUUGAAGAAAAAGAUAGUGAUGCUGCAGAAAAAAUCUCCUGACAACUGCAUGAGCCAGUCUCAUGUCCAGGUGCUGCAGGAAGAGCAGAAUGAGAAGAGGGCUUUAACAGAGACACUGCUCCAAACUCAGGGAGAGCUCAGCCAAGCGUGCCAGCAGGUCCAGCAGCUCAGGCAGGAGGUGAAAGAGCAGCAAGAGAAGGAACGGACCAUCAAGGCAAAGCUGCAAGCUGAGCUGCAGGAAGCUCACAAUGAAAUGCUGGCAGUGCAGAGGAGGCACAAGGAAGACCUUCAGGGCAUCAGAGAGGAGAUGAAUGUCCUCCUCAAACAGAGGGAUGCUCUACAAAAGCAGGUGGAUGAGUUGACAUCUCAGCUGGCAGCCUCCCGAGAGUUCCAGGAAAGCACAGUUCAGAGAGCCCAGCAAGAUGUGAGCGAGGCCCAGGAACAGUGCAGCAGAAGAUGUUGGAGACUGAGCACAUCCAAAAGAGGCUGGAGGAGGCAGAAGAUCAGAAGAAGGAGCUCCAAGAGCUGCUACAGAUAA